UACGUAGGGUGCAAGCGUUAAUCGGAAUUACUGGGCGUAAAGCGUGCGCAGGCGGUUUUUGUAAGUCUGAUGUGAAAUCCCCGGGCUCAACCUGAGAAUUGCAUUGGAGACUGCAAGGCUAGAAUCUGGCAGAGGGGGGUAGAAUUCCACGUGUAGCAGUGAAAUGCGUAGAGAUGUGGAGGAACACCAAUGGCGAAGGCAGCUCGCUGGGACGUUACUGACGCUGAGACGCGAAAGCGUGGGGAGCAAACAGGG
rnacentral:rRNA from 1 species